GACGAACGCUGGCGGCGUGCCUAAUACAUGCAAGUAGAACGCACAGUUUAUACCGUAGCUUGCUACACCAUAGACUGUGAGUUGCGAACGGGUGAGUAACGCGUAGGUAACCUGCCUGGUAGCGGGGGAUAACUAUUGGAAACGAUAGCUAAUACCGCAUAAUAUUAAUUAUUGCAUGAUAAUUAAUUGAAAGGUGCAAUUGCACCACUACCAGAUGGACCUGCGUUGUAUUAGCUAGUAGGUGAGGUAACGGCUCACCUAGGCGACGAUACAUAGCCGACCUGAGAGGGUGAUAGGCCACACUGGGACUGAGACACGGCCCAGACUCCUACGGGAGGCAGCAGUAGGGAAUAUUCGGCAAUGGACGAAAGUCUGACCGAGCAACGCCGCGUGAGUGAAGAAGGGUUUCGGAUCGUAAAGCUCUGUUGUAAGAGAAGAACGGGUGUGAGAGUGGAAAGUUCACACUGUGACGGUAUCUUACCAGAAAGGGACGGCUAACUACGUG
rnacentral:rRNA from 1 species